AUUGAACGCUGGCGGCAGGCCUAACACAUGCAAGUCGAGCGGAUGAAGGGAGCUUGCUCCUGGAUUCAGCGGCGGACGGGUGAGUAAUGCCUAGGAAUCUGCCUGGUAGUGGGGGAUAACGUCCGGAAACGGGCGCUAAUACCGCAUACGUCCUGAGGGAGAAAGUGGGGGAUCUUCGGACCUCACGCUAUCAGAUGAGCCUAGGUCGGAUGAGCUAGUUGGUGGGGUAAAGGCCUACCAAGGCGACGAUCCGUAACUGGUCUGAGAGGAUGAUCAGUCACACUGGAACUGAGACACGGUACAGACUCCUACGGGAGGCAGCAGUGGGGAAUAUUGGACGAUGGGCGAGAGCCUGAUCCAGCCAUGCCGCGUGUGUGAAGAAGGUCUUCGGAUUGUAAAGCACUUUAAGUUGGGAGGAAGGGCAGUAAGUUAAUACCUUGCUGUUUUGACGUUACCAACAGAAUAAGCACCGGCUAACUUCGUG
rnacentral:rRNA from 1 species